CUCCCAGUGUGAGCAGUGGUUCUUCAGGACAGACUAGAGCCAGUAUGAGAGGAGAGCUAACAUGAAGCAGCCCAGACUCCCAGUGUGAGCAGUGGUUCUUCAGGACAGACUAGAGCCAGUAUGAGAGGAGAGCUAACAUGAUGUAGCCCAGACUCCCAGUGUGAGCAGAGGUUCUUCAGGACAGACUAGAGCCAGUAUGAGAGGAGAGCUAACAUGAUGUAUCCCAGACUCCCAGUGUGAGCAGUGGUUCUUCAGGACAGACUAGAGCCAGUAUGAGAGGAGAGCUAACAUGAUGUAGCCCAGACUCCCAGUGUGAGCAGAGGUUCUUCAGGACAGACUAGAGCCAGUAUGAGAGGAGAGCUAACAUGAAGCAGCCCAGACUCCCAGUGUGAGCAGUGGUUCUUCAGGACAGACUAGAGCCAGUAUGAGAGGAGAGCUAACAUGAGGCAGCCCAGACUCCCAGUGUGAGCAGAGGUUCUUCAGGACAGACUAGAGCCAGUAUGAGUGGGGAGCUAACAUGAGGCAGCCCAGACUCCCAGUGUGAGCAGAGGUUCUUCAGGACAGACUAGAGCCAGUAUGAGAGGAGAGCUAACAUGAUGUAGCCCAGACUCCCAGUGUGAGCAGAGGUUCUUCAGGACAGACUAGAGCCAGUAUGAGAGGAGAGCUAACAUGAUGUAGCCCAGACUCCCAGUGUGAGCAGAGGUUCUUCAGGACAGACUUGAGCCAGUAUGAGAGGAGAGCUAACAUGAUGUAGCCCAGACUCCCAGUGUGAGCAGUGGUUCUUCAGGACAGACUAGAGCCAGUAUGAGAGGAGAGCUAACAUGAAGCAGCCCAGACUCCCAGUGUGAGCAGUGGUUCUUCAGGACAGACUAGAGCCAGUAUGAGAGGAGAGCUAACAUGAUGUAGCCCAGACUCCCAGUGUGAGCAGUGGUUCUUCAGGACAGACUAGAGCCAGUAUGAGAGGAGAGCUAACAUGAGGCAGCCCAGACUCCCAGUGUGAGCAGAGGUUCUUCAGGACAGACUAGAGCCAGUAUGAGAGGAGAGCUAACAUGAAGCAGCCCAGACUCCCAGUGUGAGCAGUGGUUCCUCAGGACAGACUAGAGCCAGUAUGAGAGGAGAGCUAACAUGAUGUAGCCCAGACUCCCAGUGUGAGCAGUGGUUCUUCAGGACAGACUAGAGCCAGUAUGAGAGGAGAGCUAACAUGAGGCAGCCCAGACUCCCAGUGUGAGCAGAGGUUCUUCAGGACAGACUAGAGCCAGUAUGAGAGGAGAGCUAACAUGAAGCAGCCCAGACUCCCAGUGUGAGCAGUGGUUCCUCAGGACAGACUAGAGCCAGUAUGAGAGGAGAGCUAACAUGAAGCAGCCCAGACUCCCAGUGUGAGCAGAGGUUCUUCAGGACAGACUAGAGCCAGUAUGAGAGGAGAGCUAACAUGAAGCAGCCCAGACUCCCAGUGUGAGCAGUGGUUCCUCAGGACAGACUAGAGCCAGUAUGAGAGGAGAGCUAACAUGAAGCAGCCCAGACUCCCAGUGUGAGCAGUGGUUCUUCAGGACAGACUAGAGCCAGUGUGAGAGGAGAGCUAACAUGAAGCAGCCCAGACUCCCAGUGUGAGCAGUGGUUCUUCAGGACAGACUUGAGCCAGUGUGAGAGGAGAG